CUCUGAUCCUGUAAUCUUCCUGCGCUGUUUAGUCAUGCAGGGCCCAGAGUGACAUCAUAACCCAUCUCACUGCAUCAUAGCAGGGUGUGUGAGGGAACAGAGCAAGAAGAGCUUGAUGUUUACAGCUCCUUCGCCGCCCGCCUCCAUUUUUCACAGCCACCUGCCUCGAGGGGGAGGAGGGUGGCUAAGGUGACCAGUGCUGAACAGGCUGACAAACAGCCAAGUGCCAGGACAAAAUUCCUACUGUGAUUUAUCGAGCCCUGCCUUAUAUAGAAUUUAACAUACAGUGCCUCUUCCUGCGCUGUUUAGUCAUGC